GCGGUGUCAGAAACAAGAACGGCAGCGGUGCCAGAACCACCAGCUCGCCGGGCUUGGCCUGGGAUUUACCUCUGGGGAUCCUUGCCUUGAGGUCUGAAUGACUUCUCCGAUUUACCAUGUCCGGUUAAUGCCAGUUGUAUGGGAGGCUCCAUGUGACAUCAGAUCAGACUAAGUAUACUUUGCUCAAGGUUUCCCUCAAUGAUUUACAGUCUCACGCUCAAGGUUCAUGGAGAUGGAAGCACCCCUCAACCCUCCACCCCCACUUGUGACUUCACUGACACUGGCACCCUCUCCUCCAUGCCCCCCGAACAUUGGAUUGGAUCUGGGCAUAACUAUAUGUUUGAGAAAUUGAUUACUCAGUGAUUACGACAUCCAUGGUGAAAGUAUGUUCUGGAACUCCUUCAUUGACUGCACAUACUGGAGGGUUUUUAAUCUGAGCAGGUUUCUGGUAUGAACUGGGCGAAACUGAACUAUGGUAAGUUUAUUGUUGCUUUUCUCUAAAUUUGUGUGGCUCUAUAUAUCGUCUUUGAACUAAGAUGAUAGACCAAUGUCUGUUAAGCUACUGUAGAACAUGACAUGCAUAUUGCUAGACCUUACUCUUUUUACGGUAGCAAUUGGAUGUAUGUUUCCUCAGUUGGAAACAAAGGAUCGUCACUGGAAGAUCUACAUAGAUCUUCAGAGAAUAAAAAUGAAAAGAAGAUAGAAAUUGCAUGAUCACGAGAGGAGAUUCUGCAGUAUACCUAUUGUAAAAUUGAAGAUAGCACAUUUCCGAGUUGAUGCAAUUUAUUAUUUUGUGGAAGUAUAGGAUAAUACUCCCAUGUACCUUCCCAGGGCGGUUGAGAUCAUCUGCGACCGUGCCACCAUCAGCCUGGCGAGGCGAAUCGAGCGUCUGCCCAUUUAGGCGAGUUAGUGCCUCUUGAAAUUGUGAGAUUUUUUGGCCUGAGCUGGAGAAAUCCCCGGGGAGGCCAUCGCAGGACUCCGCAAAAGAAGCACGGGGCGGGCUGGGUCACCUCGGGAAGGCGAGCUCCUCAGUUUCCUUAACGUCAUAGGAGGGUUGAGAAGUAUGACGGGUUUAUAUCUCUCAAUCGUGUUUAAUCAGUAAAUUUCUUAAUUUCUUGCUUUAGUUCCAAGUCCUGAUGUUGAUCAAAUAGAUAAUGUCCUAUCAGAAGCACCAAGAGCUUAAAGCAUUGUUGCAAUGUAUUCUCUAAAUUACAUUGAGCUAAAAGAUAAAAUUGGUAGGAGUCAUUU